CUACGGGUGGCAGCAGUGAGGAAUUUUGCGCAAUGGGGGCAACCCUGACGCAGCAACGCCGCGUGAGUGAAGAAGGCCUUUGGGUCGUAAAGCUCUGUCGACAGGGAAGAAGUUAUUGUUGUUUAACAGAUGACAGUAUUGACGGUACCUGUAGAGGAAGCACCGGCUAACUCCGUGCCAGCAGCCGCGGUAAUACGGGGGGUGCAGGCGUUAUUCGGAAUUAUUGGGCGUAAAGGGCGCGUAGGCGGUCUUGUCGGUCAGAGGUGAAAGCCCAGGGCUCAACCCUGGACGCGCAUUUGAAACAGCAAGACUUGAGUACGGGAGAGGAAAGCGGAAUUCCUGGUGUAGAGGUGAAAUUCGUAGAUAUCAGGAGGAACACCGAUGGCGAAGGCAGCUUUCUGGACCGAUACUGACGCUGAGGCGCGAAGGUGUGGGUAGCGAACGGGAUUAGAUACCCGAGUAGUC
rnacentral:rRNA from 1 species